AACGAACGCUGGCGGCAUGCCUAACACAUGCAAGUCGAACGAAGCCUUCGGGCUUAGUGGCGCACGGGUGCGUAACGCGUGGGAAUCUGCCCUUGGGUUCGGAAUAACAGUUAGAAAUGACUGCUAAUACCGAAUGAUGUCUUCGGACCAAAGAUUUAUCGCCCAAGGAUGAGCCCGCGUCGGAUUAGCUAGUUGGUGAGGUAAAGGCUCACCAAGGCGACGAUCCGUAGCUGGUCUGAGAGGAUGAUCAGCCACACUGGGACUGAGACACGGCCCAGACUCCUACGGGAGGCAGCAGUGGGGAAUAUUGGACAAUGGCGAAAGCCUGAUCCAGCAAUGCCGCGUGAGUGAUGAAGGCCUUAGGGUUGUAAAGCUCUUUUGCCAGGGAAGAUGAUGACUGUACCUGGAGAAUAAGCCCCGGCUAACUUCGUGCCAGCAGCCGCGGUAAU
rnacentral:rRNA from 1 species